UGAACGCUGGCGGUCUGCUUAACACAUGUAAGUCGAACGGGAUGCUUUCGGGCAUCUAGUUGGCGGACGGGUGAGUAACGCGUGGGAAUCUGCCCUCAGAACCGGGACAACAGUUGGAAGCGACUGCUAAUACCGGAUGUGCCCUUGGGUGAAACAUUUAUGGCCUGGAGAUGAGCUCGCGUCAGAUUAGCUAGUUGGAGUGGUAACGGCACACCAAGCCUGCGAAUCUGUUACUUGGUUCUGAGAGGAUGACCAGGCACACUGGAACUAGAGACACGGUCCAGACUCCUACGGGAGGCAGCAGUGGGGAAUUUUCCGCAAUGGGCGGCAAGCCUGACGGAGCAAUACCGCGUGAGGGAGGACGGCUUUUGGGUUGUAAACCUCUUUUAUAAGGGAAGAAUUGAUGACGGUACCUGAUGAAUCAGCAUCGGCUAACUCCGCGCCAGCAGCCGC
rnacentral:rRNA from 1 species